AAAAUGACUCUCGGCAACGGAUAUCUAGGCUCUCGCAUCGAUGAAGAACGUAGCAAACUGCGAUACUUGGUGUGAAUUGCAGAAUCCCGUGAACCAUCGAGUUUUUGAACGCAAGUUGCGCCCAAAGUCGCUAGGCUGAGGGCACGUCUGCCUGGGCGUCACG
rnacentral:rRNA from 4 species